UAUUUAGCGUGGGUUAAGGGUUUUCUUUAGCAGAGCGGACAUGCGAGCUCUAGUGUAAUUGUAGUUUGAGCAAUUAAUAAGUCUGCUAUUAUGAGAGGUGAAAUUGGUGCCAGCAUCUGCGGUUAUACUAGGUCUUAAAAACUAAUUUAGGUUGGUUAUUUUUUCAAAUUGAGGAAUUGUUUUUGGUGAAAUAAGGCUAGGUUUAUUUUUGGUGGAAAGAUCAGGCAGAGGGGGACCAGGAUUAGAGACCCUGUUACUAUUUAUAUAGUCUAAUGAUUACAGUUAUAAUUUACAUGGUUUGGCGGCUUAGCUAUAUUAGAGGAGUUUGCUUUUAAUCGAUAGGGCGCGGUGGCUCUUGUCUGGUUUAUUUAUGUACACCGUCAUUUAGUUAAUUUUAAUAGAAAAAUUAAGGCAUUUAGUUAAGUAAAUUAGAUCAAGGUGCAGAGUAAGCAGAAAGUAGUUGACUACAAUAUAAACUAAUAUUAUAGGCGUAAAAAAGUAAAUAUUAACAAGUGGAUUUAAGAGUAAUUAUUUAUGUUUGAUUUUACUUGCUAAGUGUACAAAUUGCCCGUCAAUCUCUGGGAGAUAAGUCGAAACAAAGUAGAGAUACCGGAAGGUUUUUCU
rnacentral:rRNA from 1 species